rnacentral:lncRNA from 1 species
UUUCCCAAGUGACCGCCAAUAAUUUGGCAGGCAAAGGAAAUCUAGGAGGCAAUGCUCUAGCGUAAAUAACGUUGAUUCAAGCGACAUGUUUUUCUGCGCUCCAUGGUGUAUAUUUAUUUUGUGGCAUCCACGGAGGAUGCCACAAAAUAAAUAUCCUUUCCUUCCUCCGUGGUGGCAUCCAUGUUUUGCAUAGAGCUUCCUCAGUACACUCUUUCAGGAAACUCGAUGUUCUGUGGCAGUAGUUCUCUAGUUUUUUCGCUUUGCAUCGUUUGCAUGCUUGCCUUUUCCACCGUUUCUGUUGUCGGCAGGCUCCGGCAAAUGGACCGGAAAGAGAGCGUCCAGAGGCGAUGGGUUCACUCUCGAGAACAGCAGCGAGAAACCGGCGCACACUCUACCGGCACGAAGUGCGAGCGUCGAUCGCGAAAGUUCGGUGAGAGGAUCGCCAGCGACUCUCUUGAUUGAGGAAGUGCGAACGCAACCGUCUACGGACUAAUAAUCUUCGAGCUUCUCUCGCAGCCUCGUGAAAUGGUUUUGUGCGUGUGAAAAAUGCAACACGGUGGAAGUGAUUUUGGAAGAAGCUAUAUCGAUGUGAACGUCACCGAUCGUUCUCAAACGCUAUCUGCACUUAGUGUGAUAAACGCCUCUGUGAUGCCCUCAUUGUCAACAUGCCCUAAGCAACCAGGCGGAAUUGCAUUCGCGGCCAUUCUGAGCAAAAAACAAAAGGCCGAUCCAGAGGCUCUUGGGAUCGUUCCCGGUGUGUUCCUGAAGUGGCUAUUUUGUCGACAUCUAGACGGGAUAGAAUUCGUACUUCGCAACCUGUGUAUGUUGACUUUCCAGCGGGAAUAUUUUCCAAACGAGGACUUUCAUUCAAAGAACGCUUUGUCUCUUUCGGAAGUGUUUUUACCCCUCAUUCCAACGAAGGCUGCCUAAUACUGUGAAGGUUUAGGGGUAGAAUUUUUCUUUCUUUACCUUAUGGUCAGUUAUAGUGCACUUAAGUAGGGCACCAAGUUGGGCUAGUUGGUUAACAUUCAUUUAAAAAGCUUAAUAACUGCUCUAGUAAACACAACCAAAAGAGGAGGAAAGACUGGACACGCACAGUCUCGCAACUGACCGUUUAUUCAUCCAGCUGGGAGCCUGUGCAUGUACGAUCCUGCCUUGUCUUUUGCCCAUGUUUGCUAGCACAGUUAUCUGGCCUUUGAAAUGUAUAGUACUCUUGCCUCUUACUUCAAUUGGCUCUCGGCAACCUCUCGCUACCCAGUCGUCUCCACGUGUCAUUGUAGCCUCCUCAGAACCUCAAGCUGGCCAUCCAUAAAUCCACACGCAACAGAGCACUCUUCAGCCCCGUGCCCUCACUCAGUCAACUCUGAGGAACUCAUUUGGGUCGAUGAAAAUUUAAAAAAAGCUCCAAAGAAAGGGUUCCCUCUUUCUUUUUACUACGAAUACCUUCAGCCGCAAUAAAAGCAUUGCUAACCAGCUUGUUCAUAUUGUGAGGAUCAUCAUGUUUUGACAACCUAUUUUGUAACUUCAUAUUGAUGCAUCACAAACAUAUUACUGUCACUGUGAUACUGCAAAUAUUACAAACAGGUUCUGAAGGUAUUCAAUGUUUAUAAAGCUUACAUGCUCAUGCAGAAACCAAGUUGACCUUGUUGGCAAAUUUAAUGUCCAGGCAAAAUGCUACAGACCCGUGCACUUAGAUUUAGGGGCACACUAGAGAAUCCCAGUUAGCCGAAAUUUUGCAAGCGCUUCACUGCGGCAUCUCUCAGAAUCAUAACGUGGUUUUGAGAUAUGAGACCAUUAACAAUUAUUACCAUUGCAGUUAUGACACUGGUGAUGACCACCUAAUUGAGAUAGGCACCAGCUGCUUUAUUUACUGCUUAUACAACUUUACCCACAAGUGGACAUUGUUCAAAGAAAGCUCUAAAAUUCUUGGAAAACAAAUAAUAAUUAUCAGGCAAGCAUUACUAGGUAUUCGAUGCAUGCAUUCAGCCGUCUAGGUGUUUAAUCAGUAUAUUUCAACCAUUACCUUUUUAUCAACGUCAUGAUGACAUUUUUAGUACCGAUUGUACGUAUGGUCUUCUUUAAGUAUUGAAAAUUUAGAAGAUUGCUGCAAUUUCAUGUGUAAAGCUUUAUUUUUUUUUACUGCUCUUACUUACCAAAAGAAGACUGCUCUUCGUAUUCCUCAUUUCCCCUGACUGACUCACAAUAAUGAAAGAAGAAAUUAAAUAUGUGUGUCACUCAGCCAAGAACCUAAAAGAUUCAAGAGUAAAAAACCCUGGUUUUGCAUGCAUCUUGGUCCCUAAAUAACUUCUGUUCAUUGACCAGUGAUUUAUUAAUUGAUGUUAAUUGUUCAUUGACAUCAAUCAUUGUUUAUAGAGUGCAUUAUGGCUGCCAAGACCUUGUCUGUAAACCUUGCUCUUCUUUGCCUCAGCAACAGGCUUCUUAAGUACCAUAAAGGUCUGCAACCUGCUCAGAGGAGGUGUUUGUCAUCAGAUAUCAGAGGAUUCUGUUGUCACAGUUGGAUAGUGAAGGUCACAUCGGAACUCCUGUUAUCUACGUUUCUUUUCGUGCCUGGAUCCAAUCCUGGUCGCAUCCAAAUGUUCCAUGAUGAAACAGCGGCCCAAUAAUUUGGUCAAAAAAAAAAAUGUCGAACCUUAAUCUUUGUUAAUGAAUGACUAUGUCUUCAUUACUUUUCCUUUGUCUAUUCAACUAAUGCAUUUGGUAUUGUUACUUUGUGAAUGUCAUGACAUCUUUUCUUAUCAUGCUCAUGUUGUUAUAUAUAUGUUAGGGAUUUUAUGGUGCUGUUUGUCCUGUUGCAUUGUAUUAUUCUGCUUUAGCUUUCUCAUUGUACUUUCACAUUUAAGCAUCGCAUAAACAUAGCUUUCAUUUAACCAUACCCUGCUUGAUCAGUUUAUUUCAUCACACUUUAUAAAUUACAGUGUUUUUCAAGCAUUUGUGCAUUUAUACAACUUAAAUGCUUCCAACAAGAGGGAACACGGCUGUACAAUUUUGUACUAAGUGUAUUGAUGUCGUAUAAAAGCUAACUAAACUGAAGUGUUUAUCAGGUCAUAGCUUUGUAUCAUACUUAAUGUUGCAAAGAAAGUUGAGUGGUGGGCCUGAUUGUGUCAUUUGUUGUUGCCAGGCGGACAAAAUUUCAUCAGCAUCCGUUACUAUAGAGGUCCAGUCAUCCAUCUAGCAGUAUUGAUUCCUUAAUUACUCCCAACUGUAGUUUUGGCUUUACUGCUGUCACUCUUGUUGAGUCUUUUUUUUCUUUCUCCCUCUUUGAAGGUCUGUGCAAGCAUAUGAGAACUUAGAAAUUUAAUCUGCAGAUCUUUUCACUUAUGGCUUUAUGAUCCUAUAAUGUUUAUGUACAAACAAACGUAGAGAGAUCUUUAUGUAAUUGCAUAUACUUGCGAAUACAUAAUAAAGAGCUGAAAAAGGUCAUAGAAAGGUCAGGACAGUUUCAAGCUGAAAAAAAAAAGACGAUUUUAACACGCAUGUUUUGUAAAUUUAGGACUUCUAGAAGACAAACUGUUAAUGCACUCGUGGGCAGCUCAGUUUCAAAUUGAAGAUUGGCGUUUAUUCUGGCAACUGUCUGGACGUGUCUGAAGCAGAAAUAACAGCAGCUGCACUAAAUAUGCAUUUAGCAGAACUAUGACUGAUAAAUUGCACUUUUCCAUUUGUGCUUUAUGUCUCUCAAGCGCACUGAUUAAUGUGUGCGUGUCCGAGGAAGAAAGUAAGUGGCAGUAAUUUUGCAUAAAUUACCUAUGAUCAAUGGCACCACUUUGCAGCGCUCGCAGAUCGAAAUGCGAUACUUGAUGGAUGUGGCUGUUGGCAGCAAGGGUAAUGGUGAAAGCGAGGACUUUUGUGACGCAUGGGCCUUGUGUUCGAUAAACAGUCGUUCAGCCUGCGCCGCUUAGUGGUGCCAACGGAGUAAUGCAAUCCUUGGCAAUGCACGCUUGCCAGCUCUACCUGCGUUACCUCAUGCGGCACGUGAGGGCAGUGUUUUGAAGCUGUAGUGAGCAGUGCUCUUCCAUUGCUGUAAGAAACUGCAGACUGAACGUUUGUCUAUGGAUGUAGUCGCCAUGCAUCACAAACGUUCUCGCGCUCACUGUUGCUCUCAGCACCAGCAGCUGCAUGCUUCUAGUAUCAAGUUGCCGUAACUGAAAAAUGUACUUGCUCUUUCUUGAUUGACUAAAAUAGGGCACAUUUUCUGUGCGUAUGCUUGUGGUGCCAAUAACUUUGUUAAUCUGAGACUUGUCUCUACAGAUACCUUUCUUGGUAUUGCACUGCCAGCACUACAUAAUAAGAUGCCCUUCUUUAUUAUUAUUGCACUGUGGCAUACUCUUCUUUAAAAGCCACUAACUGAAGGUAGGUAUUGGCUCAGGCCAGAAAUGCUAGCCUCAUAUGGUAAAGAAGGAUGAUAUAGAAAUAUUGUGUGUUUGCCACC